CUGGAAUGAAUGGUAUAGGUGGUGGGGUGGUUUGAAAGACGGGAACGUAGCGGGCGGAAACUCUCGAAAAGCGACUGCGCAGGCGCGCGCCGGGCGCGGACGCUCACGGGUCACCCAGGGUAUCCGCCCCAAGCGGAGAAUAUCGGCGCAAGCGCGGAGUAGCCGUGUCACGCAUGCGUGCGAACGCACCACAUUCCGGAACGGGAAGAAGGAGCUGUCUCUCUCUUCUGAGGGGUAGGCAGGUGCUUCCGAAUCGCGGAAUGUAGGUGCUCAUAAGCUGGAGACCCACGGAAAGAACCUAGAAGCUCCGAGCGGUUGCAGACAGCACUGCAUUGAGCCAACGACUCCUGCUCUACUGAUGGUGAUUCCACAGCUUUGUGAGGAAUAAGUUAAGAUGAAUUACAGUUUCCCCUGGACUUCUUUCUCUCUCCUGCCGCCUUGUGAAGAAGGUGCCUGCCUCCCCUUCCACCACGAUUCUAAGUUUCCUGAAGUCUCCCCAGCCAUGCUGAACUAAUGUUAUCUUAUCUGGAAGAAGAGGAAUAGGAAAGAAAAGGAGUCAGGAAUGGAUCUUACUCAGAAGGCUGACUAGACACAGCCAGGUGGAAGAGCUCCCACUGCGGGACCAAGAUGACUGGAAUGCCCCUAACAGAUCUUCAGAGGGAAGAAACCAGGAGUGGACAGAGAGAAGACACAGAAGCUGGGCUGAAGGUAGUGAAAGCUGGGAAUGUGGCACAGGACUACUGCACACCAGGUUUUGUUCCUGGCCCACAAUGGCUCUGGGGGAUCAGGUUGAAGGAAAAUUACCCUGGAUGGAAGAUCAGAGGUAUAGAAAGAAAUGGAGAGCAAAGAAAGAGUUUGAUGAUUCCCUCCUUGGAGAUCUUCACCUGCAGUUCCUGGAAUGAGUGAUGCUGCUUCCACAUGGUCAAUUUCACCCCUUCAUAUCUCUUCUGCAUCUAUGACACACCUUUAUCUUCUUGUUGCUGAGGCUGCCUCACCCUUAGCAGAAGCUUUUGGUGGCACUUAUGGCCAGCUAAUCAACUUGACUAUCAGGCAGCACCAUUCCGCAGAGUUGUAUGUGAUCUAUGGAAAAUCGACCCCUCUGCCCUGCUUUCAAUGAACUUGUAACUUACUACUGACAAGAGGCUUCUUAUUCUUCUAUAGGCAGCUCUAGGUACACUUACCUUUGCUUUUUUGUUCAGCCAUGGGUCAAGUAACUUGCUCUCAUGUCUCUGAAAUUCCAGAGAAUGCAUAUUAGCCUCCCAAAUGGUUCUUUUGAGGCCCCCUUCAAUUGAUUUGAGAUGAAAGGGGAGUUUCCUUUCCCUCCCAUGUAAGAGAGAGAUAAUUUAUAAUGCUCUGACAAUAGUCUCCAAAAAAAAAUCCUCAUUAGCAGCCUCUUCACCCUUUCAGUGGAUAUUUAGCUAUCUCUUAGUCUGGAGGCGAAUGAUAGUCUUCAAAUAUCCACUGGAAUGUAAGCAGCAAUAAAGCAGACAUUUUUUAUGUGUUUUGAUUAUUUCUGUGUCAUUUGGUUUUAGAGAAAAGCCUGACACAUAGUAGGCUGUCAAUAGAUAUAUGUUCAACAUAUGAAUGAAUGAAUGAAAAAGCAAUCAGGCACUUUGAUUUAGAAUGUGUGUAUACACACACACACAUCAUAUAUAUAUUUAUAUAUAAAACAACAGAUGUCAUACAUAUACAUAUAUACACACAUCAUAUAUAUAUUUAUAUAUAAAACAACAGAUGUCAUACAUAUACAUAUAUACACGCAUGUAUGUAUAUAUGUAUGCGUAAUGAUAUACAUGCAUGUAUAUACAUAUAUACAUACAUAUAUGUGUACAUGCACACAUAUAUGUGUAUAUAUAUAUAUGGCACUUCUAUUGUUUUCAGAUUUUGGGAUGUCUGCUGAAACAAAAAAAU
rnacentral:lncRNA from 10 species